rnacentral:rRNA from 1 species
GUCUAGCCUGCUCACUGACAAAGAUGUUAAAUAGCCGCGGUAUUUUGACCGUGCAAAGGUAGCAUAAUCAUUAGUUUUUUAAUUGGAAACUUGUAUGAAUGGUUGGACAAAGAAAAAGCUGUCUCUUUUAUUAAAAUUGAAAUUAACUUCUAAGUGAAAAGGCUUAGAUUUUCUAGAGGGACGAUAAGACCCUAUAAAGCUUUAUAAAUUAAGUAAGUUAAACAAAUUUUAUAGAAUAAAGGUAAAUUUAAUAUAUUUAUUUGGUUGGGGCGACAAUGGUAUAAAUUAAAUAACUGCUAUUAAAAUUAAACAAUUAUAUUUGAUUAAAAUUAUAAUUGAUCCUUAUUAUGGAUUAAAAGAUCAAGUUACUUUAGGGAUAACAGCGUAAUUUCUUUUAAGAGUUCUUAUCAAAGAAGAAGUUUGCGACCUCGAUGUUGAAUUAAAAUGUCUUUAUAGUGCAGAAGCUAUAAAAGAAGGUCUGUUCGACCUUUAAUUUUUUACAUGAUUUGAGU